AGUGAACGCUGGCGGUAGGCUUAACACAUGCAAGUCGAACGGCAGCGCGGUAAGCGCUUGGGCUUCCGGUUGGCAACGGGCGGACAAGGGAGCAGAACAUCCCCAUCUACUGUUUCGUAGGGCAUAACGGAGGGAAUCAUACGCCAAUCCCGCUUCCGGCGUAAGGGGGAGAGCGUGAGACCUUCCGACCUUGCGGGAUUGGAUGAGCGGAUGUCGGAUUAGCUAGUUGGCGGGGUAACGGCCCACCAAGGCGACGAUCCGUAGCUGGUUUGAGAGGACGACCAGCCACACUGGGACUGAGACACGGCCCAGACUCCUACGGGAGGCAGCAGUGGGGAAUUUUGGACAAUGGGGGCAACCCUGAUCCAGCCAUCCCGCGUGUGCGAUGAAGGCCUUCGGGUUGUAAAGCACUUUUGGCAGGAAAGAAACGUCGCGGGCUAAUACCCCGUGGAACUGACGGUACCUGAAGAAUAAGCACCGGCUAACUACGUG
rnacentral:rRNA from 1 species